UACGAAGGGGGCUAGCGUUGCUCGGAAUCACUGGGCGUAAAGGGUGCGUAGGCGGGGCUUUAAGUCAGGGGUGAAAUCCUGGAGCUCAACUCCAGAACUGCCUUUGAUACUGAAGAUCUUGAGUCCGGGAGAGGUGAGUGGAACUGCGAGUGUAGAGGUGAAAUUCGUAGAUAUUAGGAAGAACACCAGUGGCGAAGGCGGCUCACUGGUCCGGUACUGACGCUGAGGUGCGAAAGCGUGGGGAGCAAACAGG
rnacentral:rRNA from 1 species